rnacentral:rRNA from 1 species
CCUACGGGUGGCUGCAGUGAGGAAUAUUGGUCAAUGGGCGGAAGUCUGAACCAGCCAAGUCGCGUGAGGGAAUAAGGCCCUACGGGUCGUAAACCUCUUUCGCCGGGGAGCAAGGGCGGGGACGUGUCCCGGCCCGGAGAGUACCCGGAGAAAAAGCAUCGGCUAACUCCGUGCCAGCAGCCGCGGUAAUACGGAGGAUGCGAGCGUUAUCCGGAUUUAUUGGGUUUAAAGGGUGCGCAGGCGGAAGAUCAAGUCAGCGGUAAAAUUGAGAGGCUCAACCUCUUCGAGCCGUUGAAACUGGUUUUCUUGAGUGAGUGAGAGGUAUGCGGAAUGCGUGGUGUAGCGGUGAAAUGCAUAGAUAUCACGCAGAACUCCGAUUGCGAAGGCAGCAUACCGGCGCUCAACUGACGCUCAUGCACGAAAGUGUGGGGAGCGAACAGGAUUAGAUACCCGAGUAGUC